rnacentral:rRNA from 1 species
CGAAUUGAUGAGAUGUACUUCUUUUAUAGGGGAUAAAAUGAGCCACGUGUGGCUUUUUGUAUGUACCCUAUGAAUAAGGAUCGGCUAACUCCGUGCCAGCAGCCGCGGUAAUACGGAGGAUCCGAGCGUUAUCCGGAUUUAUUGGGUUUAAAGGGAGCGUAGGUGGACAUGUAAGUCAGUUGUGAAGGUUUGCGGGCAA